rnacentral:tRNA from 1 species
ACAUGAAGGCUAACCUCUUCCUUUGUAU